GGGUGACACAGUGACAGAGUGAGGGAGCGGGUGACACAGUGACAGAGUUAGGGAGGGAGUGACUAGUGACAGAGAGAGGGAUGGGGUGACUAGUGACAGUCACCCCCCUCACUCUGUCACCAGUCAUCCCCUCACUCUGUCACUAGUCACCCCUUCCCUCCCUCACUUUGCCACUAGUCAUCUCUUCCCUCACUCUGUCACUAGUCACCCCUAUCUCCCUCCCUCUGUCUUUGAUCCUGCCACUCCCUCACUCUGUCACCAGUCACACC